rnacentral:lncRNA from 1 species
UCUUCUCCUCUCCGUUCCGUCCAAACCCAGCCGGACGUCGCUGCAACCAUCGGCCAGUUCGCGAGGCAGCCGUACGCGUCACCUUGCGACCGCCGUCCAGAUCUGUACCGCAAGACCUUCCGCCGCUGCAGCAGCCGUUGCUCUUCCGCCGCUGCCCAGCCGUCUCAGCCGGUUCUGUCUCCGUCGAAGCCAAGGCCGCCGCGUGAACCAGUAACCGCCACGCUCCCCGCUCACAACCGCCGUCCAAGCCAGCCGCCGCCGAUCCCUUCUCUUCCGUUGUCUGCACUGCCGCGCGAAUCUCCGGCCGUCUGUAUACGGUCUCUCGGUCGCACGUCAUCUCUUCGCAAAGCUACUGCUCGAUUUCUUUCGCGAAGAUUUGGGUAAGUUGUAAAAAGAUUCACAUUGGGUUGAAUUUAAAUGAUUGAUGCGUUGAAGAGAAUUAUUGAGAAAUUGUCUUAAUGUUUAGGUUCAUUCUUCAUAGACUUCAACGUGGUUAAGGAGCUUAACUAACUUAAAGGUAAGGGACUUUCUACUGGACUCACCUAAAGUUUUUGAGUUGUGUUGGACUGUAUGGAUGAUGAUUAAGAUGUACAUGUUUGAUUGCAGACUAAAUGUUUAGUGUAUGUUGUAUUUGACUGGAAACAUAUAUAUGUACAUUGAUGUGUGAAUUGAUGUGGAUUGCCGAAAGUAUACAUGUGAAUGACUGAAAUUAUGCUUAUGUGUACAUGAUGAUAUUAAUAGAUUGUGCGGUAUAAAGAUUUGGAUGUGAACUAGUGAAUUUGUUUCGGUUUGAUGUGGAUUAUACUGAACUGUAGUUUGUGCUGGUGAACUGAGGGGUGUAUUGACUGUAUAGUUUGUUUGACUGACGUAUUAGUAUAUUAUUGACAGACAUAUGACUAAAGUGAGAUAAGGUGACUGUUAGGACGUCGAGAGAAAGAACUUUAUGUUUUGAAGUAACUGAAAGAUGGAUUGAAUGGAAUGAGGGGAUAAAUUGUUAGGUUGUAUUGGGAUGUUUACCUUGUAGGUGUCCCACGGGAUCACCAAUUUAUUUUGCACCUUCGGGAGCAUUUGACUGAUAUGUGUUUCUGCAGAACACUAGACUGAUAUGAACGUCCCUCGGGGCGUUAGACUGAUAUGUACGUCCCUCGGGGCGUUAGACUGAUAUGUACGUCCCUCGGGGCGUUAGACUGAUAUGUGUAUCCUACGGGAUCACAAGACUGCGACUGUACAGGGUGUCCCAAUAGAACUUUAACAAUUUAUUUUCCCCUGAC